rnacentral:ncRNA from 1 species
UUGCGGGGGUACUCCAAACAGUCAGGAGUUGAGAUUAUACCCAUUGAACCUGAUGCGGGUAAUGCCGCCGAAGGGAAGCAUAA